ACGACACUUUAUUCUAUGGUACACUCUAGAUCCGGCCAACUAGAAAAGAUAUGGAAAAGAUCACACACACAAAAAAACACAGCGACACGCGCGUGCGCGUUCUUUAUUCUAUGCGCUCGCUCGCGCGCAUAGAAUAAUUUGCAGUGUGCUAUGUGUUGCAUAGAAUAUGCAGUGUGCAAAUUUUCUAGCAUAACGAGUUUGUUUGUCCUGCCACCAUUCCUUCAGACGUCGCUUCGUCUCUGGUUGUCAAGUAGUUCAAAUGCACUCUAGUUUCAACCGUCCGUACUGCUCAUUGCGUUUAUGUCAGGAUAUAGCACGCAUAGAGUUUCGUACUGUUGCCAGGCCGCUGCUAUGGUGCCAUCGUCCCAUGUCGAAGCAGUGCACGUAGCAGUCGAACAGUGCUUUCUAGCCUCUUUAGUCCUACGGUGCUACGCAGUGCAUAUGAAACUUGCGGAUACCAUCACCAUGGACCAUGCCAUGGACCAAAACGUUCCCAUGGACACAAGAUGAUGCUUUCAGCUAUGAUGGACCGGCGCCCUCCAUCUGCUCGGUGCUCGCCCGGAAUGUAACGAGGGGCUUCUGUUGCCAAGUUACAGGAGAACCCCCCCGAGUGGAAGGAAAAUCUCCCUCCAAGAUGCUGCUGGGCUAUCAGCUACGUUUGUGCUUGGACAUGUCCUGCUUGGACAUGUACUUCUGUCCUGCUCAGGACCAGGAGCCAGAACAGGUUUACAAUAAAGGAUGAAUCUACAUUUAUACUUUC